UCGUCCAUAGUUUGUUGCUUCCCUCUGGGCUCUGAUUUCCACAGUUUCUCUCUGUUUUGGAUUCCCUCAACACUCUACAUUUGGACUUAGUUUUUCCCUUCCUGGAUUCUGCAGUUUGAUUCUGUUUGCCCCUGGAUUGCCCCAACCUACUGCCCCCUCUGUUGCCAGUUACCCCCCCGUCUUUUCUGGUUCCACCUGUUCCUGCUGGUUCCUACAGAUUCCGUCAUCAGCUCCAGUUCUGGUGCCAUUCAGCGUCCUGGAAAUCACUCAUCUGUGUUGUUUCUACCUCAUGGUGUUCCUCCACACUCUCCUGCUGCUGCAUCUCGACAACCACCACCUGGACACCGGCCUGCAGCCUAGAACUACCUUCCUCCACGGUUGUGUACCCAGUCCGAGCAUCUCAUAAUUGUUUUUUGUGAGUUAAUUCAAGUUUCGCAGUUUCGUGUACCCGUUAGUUUCCUGGUUUAGUUCCUAGUUCUAGUAAUCAAGUAAUUUUGAGUUAUUGUCUUUCUUGCCUGGGUGUUACCCAACCUGAGUUAGUUUAUUAGAAUUUUGUAGUGAAUCCUCCUCACCUAUAGUAGUCGCCAUAGGUUGGCAAUCUAUUUUCGUUGAUGUACUUCCUGUUGUAGUUCUCAGCUUACGAUUUGUAGUUCCUCUAAGUUUUUGUAAAUAAAC
ensembl:lncRNA